CUACGUGCCAGCAGCCGCGGUAAUACGGAGGGUGCGAGCGUUAAUCGGAAUAACUGGGCGUAAAGGGCACGCAGGCGGACUUUUAAGUGAGGUGUGAAAUCCCCGGGCUUAACCUGGGAAUUGCAUUUCAGACUGGGAGUCUAGAGUACUUUAGGGAGGGGUAGAAUUCCACGUGUAGCGGUGAAAUGCGUAGAGAUGUGGAGGAAUACCGAAGGCGAAGGCAGCCCCUUGGGAAUGUACUGACGCUCAUGUGCGAAAGCGUGGGGAGCAAACAGGAUUAGAUACCCUGGUAGUCCACGCUGUAAACGCUGUCGAUUUGGGGAUUGGGCUUAAAGCUUGGUGCCCGUAGCUAACGUGAUAAAUCGACCGCCUGGGGAGUACGGCCGCAAGGUUAAAACUCAAAUGAAUUGACGGGGGCCCGCACAAGCGGUGGAGCAUGUGGUUUAAUUCGAUGCAACGCGAAGAACCUUACCUACUCUUGACAUCCAUGGAAUUCUGUAGAGAUACGGGAGUGC
rnacentral:rRNA from 1 species